rnacentral:rRNA from 1 species
UACGUAGGGUGCGAGCGUUGUCCGGAUUUAUUGGGCGUAAAGAGCUUGUAGGCGGCUCGUCACGUCGGGUGUGAAAACUCGCGGCUCAACCGCGAGCCUGCACCCGAUACGGGCGGGCUGGAGUUCGGCAGGGGGAGACUGGAAUUCCUGGUGUAGCGGUGGAAUGCGCAGAGUAUCAGGAAGAACACCCGUGGCUAAGGCGGCUCUCUAGUACGGUACUGACGCUGAGACGCGAAAGCGUGGGAGCGAACGGA